UAACAGGCCUGGUUCUAAUUAUAACAAUUAUACCGUGAAACUGCGAAUGGCUCAUUAAAUCAGUUAUCGUUUAUUUGAUAAUACCUUACUACUUGGAUAACCGUGGUAAUUCUAGAGCUAAUACAUGCUGAAAAUCCCGACUUCGGAAGGGAUGUGUUUAUUAGAUAAAAAACCAAUGCCCUUCGGGGCUUUUUGGUGAUUCAUGAUAACUUUACGGAUCGCAUAGCCUUGCGCUGGCGACGGUUCAUUCAAAUUUCUGCCCUAUCAACUUUCGAUGGUAAGGUAUUGGCUUACCAUGGUUUCAACGGGUAACGGGGAAUUAGGGUUCGAUUCCGGAGAGGGAGCCUGAGAAACGGCUACCACAUCCAAGGAAGGCAGCAGGCGCGCAAAUUACCCAAUCCCGACACGGGGAGGUAGUGACAAUAAAUACUGAUACAGGGCUCUUUUGGGUCUUGUAAUUGGAAUGAGUACAAUUUAAACCUCUUAACGAGGAACAAUUGGAGGGCAAGUCUGGUGCCAGCAGCCGCGGUAAUUCCAGCUCCAAUAGCGUAUAUUAAAGUUGUUGCAGUUAAAAAGCUCGUAGUUGAAACUUGGGCCUGGCUGGCGGGUCCGCCUCACCGCGUGCACUCGUCCGGCCGGGCCUUCCUUCUGAAGAACCUCAUGCCCUUCACUGGGCGUGCUGGGGAAUCAGGACUUUUACUUUGAAAAAAUUAGAGUGUUCAAAGCAGGCCUUUGCUCGAAUACGUUAGCAUGGAAUAAUAAAAUAGGGCGUGCGUUUCUAUUUUGUUGGUUUCUAGAGACGCCGCAAUGAUUAACAGGAACAGUCGGGGGCAUCAGUAUUCAGUUGUCAGAGGUGAAAUUCUUGGAUUUACUGAAGACUAACUACUGCGAAAGCAUUUGCCAAGGAUGUUUUCAUUAAUCAGUGAACGAAAGUUAGGGGAUCGAAGACGAUCAGAUACCGUCGUAGUCUUAACCGUAAACUAUGCCGACUAGGGAUCGGGCGAUGUUCUUUUUCUGACUCGCUCGGCACCUUACGAGAAAUCAAAGUUUUUGGGUCUGGGGGGAUAAGGUCGAAAGC
rnacentral:rRNA from 1 species